rnacentral:rRNA from 1 species
GACGAACGCUGGCGGCGUGCUUAACACAUGCAAGUCGAACGGAAAGGCCCUGCUUGCAGGGUACUCGAGUGGCGAACGGGUGAGUAACACGUGGGUGAUCUGCCCUGCACUUCGGGAUAAGCCUGGGAAACUGGGUCUAAUACCGGAUAGGAGCCAUUUUUAGUGUGAUGGUUGGAAGGUUUUUUCGGUGUAGGAUGAGCUCGCGGCCUAUCAGCUUGUUGGUGGGGUAAUGGCCUACCAAGGCGGCGACGGGUAGCCGGCCUGAGAGGGUGGACGGCCACAUUGGGACUGAGAUACGGCCCAGACGCCUACGGGAGGCAGCAGUGGGGAAUAUUGCACAAUGGGCGCAAGCCUGAUGCAGCGAGGCCGCGUGGGGGAUGACGGCCUUCGGGUUGUAAACUCCUUUCGCUAGGGACGAAGCUUUUUGUGACGGUACCUAGAGAAGAAGCACCGGCUAACUACGUG